rnacentral:rRNA from 1 species
AGGAAUAUUGGUCAAUGGGCGCAGGCCUGAACCAGCCAAGUAGCGUGAAGGAUGACUGCCCUAUGGGUUGUAAACUUCUUUUAUAUGGGAAUAAAGUUUUCCACGUGUGGGCCGACGAGAGUACCGUACGAAUAAGCAUCGGCUAACUCCGUGCCAGCAGCCGCGGUAAUACGGGGGAUGCAAGCGUUAUCCGGAUUUAUUGGGUUUAAAGGGUGCGUAGGCUGUGAGGUAAGUCAGCGGUGAAAUGCCCCCGCUCAACGGGGUGAAGUGCCAUUGAUACUGCCUUGCUGGAAUGCGGAUGCCGUGGGAGGAAUGUGUGGUGUAGCGGUGAAAUGCAUAGAUAUCACACAGAACACCGAUUGCGAAGGCAUCUCACGAAUCCGCGAUUGACGCUGAUGCACGAAAGCGUGGGUAUCAAACAGG